rnacentral:lncRNA from 10 species
GUUCACAACUGCCAGGCCCGUCCCCAACCUCCCCCCGCCGGGUUCCCAGCGCCACGUGACUACAGGAGCUGCCGAGGCCUCCAUUAGAGGAAAUGUCUCUUCUCCCAGUCAGGAGUUAACCACCUGCUGUAACUUCCUCUUUAGCAUCGCCAGAGGAAACUAAGUAUGACUGUGCCUUCACUCUGCAGAAAGAAAAUGAGUGGCAAAGGAGUUGCGAAGGGAUUCCUGAGCCUUUAUGCCAGCUGGAAGCUUAAGGCCUUGGUAUUUGAGACUUCACCCUUCAAAAUGUCUUGGAGGAUGGCCCAGCAACCAGCCAAAUGGCCCAAUGGCCUAGCCCAGUGGAGACGGUCUCAGCUUUUGACAAGCUAGCCGGAGAAAGGGCUGGACAGGAAGGGGCCCACUGGACAGCGAAUAUUGAUAGGGCCCCUGGGAGGAUCAAUUUUCCCCUCCAACAGUGCCUGGCUCCCAUUAUCAGAUUAGAUGCAAAGUGGGCUGGCAUGCCAGGGGGUGACAGGAACAGUGUCUCCAGAAAUCCUCUGUGAAGACACCCAAGUAUUGUUCAGAAGUGGCCCUGUAUCUGGAAGAGGGAAAACUGCACCCACUUCUUGCAGACAUACAGUUCCAGCUCCCCCCACAGGACUUGCUCAUACAUCCAACAAAUAUUUAAUCAGUGCCCACCAUCUGCCACUGUGCCAGGUGCCCGGCCUCAUCAUGAGUCAGGCAGAGGUGGUCUGUGCAGUUUUCCCACAAUGUGAGAGGGUGCUGAGAAGACUUUUAACGCUUAUUUAACUACGGAAAUAACUCUUGGUUUGGUACCUACUACAAAAUAAAAACAAGCGCUUGUUGAUAAUUUCUGGAUGGAUGACUGUGGAAAGCUGGAGGAGACUGAGGAUCAAUUUGCUCUAAUGAACCUUCCCUUGACUAUCAUCUCCGUUACCUCCUGCCGCAUCCCUACGGCAAAUAUGCAAGACUCUCACGCAGCUAAUUUCCAGGGGUUUGCAGUCUGGGGAGGAAGCAGAAAGCACAUCCCUCACUGACCCUGAGGAGGGGCAAAUCUCUGGUAGCAGUCACAGGUACGUGCUGUACACACUUCCCAUCCUUUGAGCCUUCCCAGCUGGAGAGCACCAAGAGAACGCAGUUGGGGAGGCCCCGAAAGAUGAAGGGUUGUUGAGCUUGAAGGCAGUGAAAAAGUAAAUGGAAGAAAGCUCUCUGCCCUCCACUGCCUAAAUGCAGGAUAUAGAUUUAGAAGGAUAAAAGGGGUCUGCUCCCUCUCUCGACCAGGGAAAAGUUAACCACUGAAGACAACUUUAGACUCUUAUGGGCCUGGAGCUGGAACCAGAGGAAUGGACAUGAAGGCGCUUUACUAACUCUAUUUAUCUGCCAGUUACUUACCUUUCUACAAGUUCUCCCCUUAGACACUCAAAGUUCUUUUCCUUUGUCCUGUCGCUUCCCUAAAACUUGGCUUUUCUUUGUUGAAGAUGCUAUACAAGCUGGAAUUCAAAGCUACCACUUUGAGAACUACUCAAUUCCUGCGUGUCUCCCAGGCAGAUGUGAAAUACACAUGUUAAUAAACUUCCACUGGUUUUUCUCUUGUUAAUCUGUCUUUUGUAACAGGAGUCCGUUCCAACCACAAAUCUAGGGGGGCUGAGGAAAAACCCCUACAGUGGCACACACUGAA